AAAAAAAGUAAACCAUAUUAAUACUAUAAAUAUCAUAUGCAUUAAUAUGGUUAAACAAUACAAAAGCAACAUAAAACAAUUUUCCCGAGAAAAGGGGUGAAUCUGCUUUGUGCCCUGUCUCCAGUCUCCUCCUGGUGCCCCCCCCCCCCCACUCCCAGUGGUCUGUUCUAUAAUGCCUCAAUUCGGUAUUGGUAAACACCUGUUUGAACAUGGCCUCGAAACGGCAACAGGAGUCGGGAGCGGAGAAAAGAAAGAAGAAGAGGAAGCGUGAUGAAACUCAGGCGUCGCUUGCCGGGUCAAUGCUUAAAUAUGUUCAAGGAGGAUCUCAAGGACAGGAUGAACCAUCCAGUAGUAGUGCCAUCCCUGGACAUCAACCACCAGCCAUUGUAGACCCUGCAACAAUCCCUAGCCAAGAAGAACAAGAACCAUCAACCACCAGUUCAGAACCUCUUCAUUUCGUCUCAUUUCCAUCCAACAAUCAUUUAUCGUUUUGAGCUUUUGAGUUGUAUGAGAAGCUCUUCAAUAUUUUGUCGGAGGUUUUCGUUCUCAUUUUUGAAUUCCCUCACUUGCUGGCGAAGGUUUUCAUUCUCUUCCAUCACAUCACUGGGAAUGGAGGGUGACUCAGCCAUUUUUGUAAUUUAAGUAAAGUUAAAAUCUACUACUACUUGCAACAGUACUAACUGUGUUCCUUGUUCACUACAAAAAGUGUCUCAAAUUACAGUCAAGCGUAUAAGCUGUUUGCCUGUUCAGUGAGGUUAUAACUGAAUGGACAUAGGGUUUGGGUUACUAUAUGGACUUUAGAGCAAAGGACACCUAUUUAUGGACUUAAGAUCAAAGGAAUCCUAAUAGAAUGUGAUGAGUAAUGAUGAUGUCACAAUGAACAUGUGAAAUUAAAUGAUGAAAAAAAAAC
ensembl:lncRNA